AUUGAACGCUGGCGGCAGGCUUAACACAUGCAAGUCGAGCGGGGUGAUGGUGCUUGCACUAUCACUUAGCGGCGGACGGGUGAGUAAUGCUUAGGAAUCUGCCUAUUAGUGGGGGACAACACUUCGAAAGGAAUGCUAAUACCGCAUACGUCCUACGGGAGAAAGCAGGGGAUCUUCGGACCUUGCGCUAAUAGAUGAGCCUAAGUCGGAUUAGCUAGUUAGUGGGGUAAAGGCCUACCAAGGCGACGAUCUGUAGCGGGUCUGAGAGGAUGAUCCGCCACAAUGGGACUUAGGAACGGCCCAGACUCCUACGGAAGGCAGCAGUGGGGAAUAUUGGACAAUGGGCGGAAGUCUGAUCCAGCCAUGCCGCGUGUGUGAAGAAGGCCUUAUGGUUGUAAAGCACUUUAAGCGAGGAGGAGGCUACUUUAGUUAAUACCUAGAGAUAGUGGACGUUACUCGCAGAAUAAGCACCGGCUAACUCUGUGCCAGCCGCCGCGGUAACAC
rnacentral:rRNA from 1 species